rnacentral:pre_miRNA from 1 species
CAACUACUCCCUCUAUCCCAAAUUUUUUGUCUUAGAUUUGUCUAGAUAUGGAUGUAUCUAAUACUAAAAUGUGACUUGAUACAUCCGUAUCUAGACAAAUCUAAGACAAGAAUUUUGGGACAGAGGGGGUACUUU